rnacentral:rRNA from 1 species
UACGUAGGGGGCGAGCGUUGUCCGGAUUUAUUGGGCGUAAAGAGCUCGUAGGCGGCUUAGCAAGUCGGGUGUGAAAACUCCAGGCUCAACCUGGAGACGCCACUCGAGACUGCUAUGGCUAGAGUCCGGUAGGGGACCACGGAAUUCCUGGUGUAGCGGUGAAAUGCGCAGAUAUCAGGAGGAACACCGGUGGCGAAGGCGGUGGUCUGGGGCCGGCACUGACGCUGAGGAGCGAAAGCGUGGGUAGCAAACAGG